rnacentral:rRNA from 1 species
AUUGAACGCUGGCGGCAGGCUUAACACAUGCAAGUCGAGCGGAGAUGAGGUGCUUGCACCUUAUCUUAGCGGCGGACGGGUGAGUAAUGCUUAGGAAUCUGCCUAUUAGUGGGGGACAACAUUCCGAAAGGAAUGCUAAUACCGCAUACGUCCUACGGGAGAAAGCAGGGGAUCUUCGGACCCUGCGCUAAUAGAUGAGCCUCAGUCGGAUUAGCUAGUUGGUGGGGUAAAGGCCUACCAAGGCGACGAUCUGUAGCGGGUCUGAGAGGAUGAUCCGCCACACUGGGACUGGGACACGGGCCAGACUCCUACGGGAGGCGGCAGUGGGGAAUAUUGGACAAUGGGGGGAACCCUGAUCCAGCCAUGCCGCGUGUGUGAAGAAGGCCUUAUGGUUGUAAAGCACUUUAAGCGAGGAGGAGGCUACUGAGACUAAUACUCUUGGAUAGUGGACGUUACUCGCAGAAUAAGCACCGGCUAACUCUGUGCCAGCCGCCGCUGUAA